AUUUCUUGCAUUUUUUUUAAGAAGGAAUAAAUCUUUCACCUUUUACUAAAGAUUUCCAUGGAGAGAGUCAAGAGUUUUAUUGGUAUUUUUUGUUUGCCCUGCAUUUGUAGGGUU